CUCUCGGCUCGGCGUAACGCCCAACCACUAACCCCGUCAGAUCUGGAAGGAAGCAGCGGUCCGUGAACCUGGGCGUGUCGUGGAGUACCGGGGGGUU
rnacentral:SRP_RNA from 1 species